UACGGAAGGCAGCAGUGGGGAAUAUUGCACAAUGGGCGAAAGCCUGAUGCAGCUAUGCCGCGUGUAUGAAGAAGGCCUUAGGGUUGUAAAGUACUUUCAUCGGGGAGGAAAAAACAAAACUAAUAAUUUUAUUUCUUGACGUUACCCGAAAAAGAAGCACCGGCUAACUCCGUGCCAGCAGCCGCGGUAAUACGGAGGGUGCUAGCGUUAAUCAGAAUUACUGGGCGUAAAGAGCACGUAGGUGGUUUUUUUAAAGUCAGAUGUGAAUCCCUGGGCUUAACCUAGGAACUGCAUUUUGAAACUGAAAUACUAGAGUAUCGUAGAGGGAGGUAGAAUUCUAGGUGUAGCGGUGAAAUGCGUAGAUAUCUGGAGGAUACCUGUGGCGAAAGCGGCCUCCUAAACGAAUACUGACACUGAGGUGCGAAAGCGUGGGGAGCAAACAGGGAUUAGAUACC
rnacentral:rRNA from 1 species